UCCCAGGUGGCUCAGUGGUAAAGAAUCUGCUUGAAAGGCAGGAGACCCAGGUUUGAUCCCUGGGUUGGAAA
rnacentral:tRNA from 1 species